UGCCAGCCGCCGCGGUAAUACGUAGGAUGCAAGCGUUGUCCGGAAUCACUGGGCGUAAAGGGUCCGUAGGCGGUUUGUUAAGUCUUCUGUGAAAGUUCAGGGCUCAACCCUGAAAUGUCGGGGGAUACUGGCAAACUUGAGACUGUCAGAGGCAAGUGGAAUUCCCGGUGUAGUGGUGAAAUGCGUAGAUAUCGGGAGGAACACCAGUGGCGAAAGCGGCUUGCUGGGACAGUUCUGACGCUGAGGGACGAAAGCGUGGGUAGCAAACCGGAUUAGAUA
rnacentral:rRNA from 1 species